AGAACUCUGGAGGUUCUGGACUACACAGCUGAAGGCAUUUUCCCCUUUCCCGGGAUGUAUCCACAGAAAACACUUCAUCAGUGAGAAUGUUCCCUGAAACUUGAAGAGGAUGUAAUAAACGUUGGCCGUUCAACCUUCACCUAUCCUCAACAUUGCCAUCUGGAUGCCUCUGACCUUCACCCCAGCCCAGAUCCUCACACAAGCUGGCUCUAAGAGGGAAGGCUAGAACAUACACCAGCCCCAUCCUUCCAGUCCCCACUGACUGCUGACAUGGACCGUGAAUAGGCCUUUGGACUCCUGCAAGCUGAGAAUUCCCUGCUUCCCACAGCAGAUAUCUGAUAGCUUCUUUUCUACAGAAAUCUAUCUCCUUUGAGAGAUCUAACCAUCCCAACAAUGCUUUUCCAGGAAAAGAUUUCCAGCCCUCCUCUGGUCUCCUGUGACCCUGAGAGCUGACCUCAUAGCAUCUACCUCACUGUUCCUUAAUUCUCAAUUUUGUCUCCUGAAACCUUUGGCUUCUCAGUAUUUAUCUGUUCCUGGCUCAGGGCAGGAUAUCAGUAAAUGA